rnacentral:rRNA from 2 species
GUGAAGUCGUAACAAGGUUUCCGUAGGUGAACCUGCGGAAGGAUCAUUC